GGCGCCGGGCGCGCGGGCCGGGCGCAUUUCCGGCGCGGGGGGUGUGUCCCGAUGGCUGCUGGGGGCCCUCGGCGCCCUCCUCGCCGCCGCCCGCCGCCCCGCGCCGCCCGCGGGCCUUUGGCCGGAGGGGGCAACCUUUGGGCUCUGGAAAGUACCUUUGGAAGUUUGGGCCCUGUGAAGGGAAGUCAGCCUGGUAGAAGCUGAAGGAAGUUUCAAGCCGCGGUUCUGUGUGUUCUUUCCUCAGCACUUGUGCGCCCGCGGACGAUCGUGCCGAGUCUGAGGCAAAAAAGAGGAGGACAGGUAUCACAUGGGUGGAUGUUUGCUGCCCAGAGCCAUCUCAGGGCGAUGUUGUGACCAGGGGCUCCCCACCAGCAGAAGAUACUCUGCAACAGGAUGGACCUGGUGAGGCCAAAAAGUCACCUGCCUGUGAGGUGGAAGAAAAGAAACCGCCAAGGCUGCAGAAAAGAGCAGAAGGCUUUACUC